GGCCCAAUUCCUAAAGUGGCCCAAAUUAAUUUUAAACCCCAGCUCAUAUCCCUUAUAAUUCGGUCCAGCCCAUUCCCUAAUUAUAUAUACCUAACAGACCUUCCCAUUUUAAACAUAGACCUAGACAAUAAUCAGAGAACCCUCCCAUUCUAAAAGAAUACAGAGCAAACGGCGCACCUUCUAACCCAUUGCUCUUAAAAACAUAGAACCAUCUCCAUAUUCACUAAAAGAACUCAGUCACACCUCAUCUAUAGAAAGCGCACACACACACGCACUCAUGAGAGAGACAAAAAAUCGGGACAGAGGGAGAGGUGGAGAAACAUAAAAAUUUUGAGGAUUUUCGGAAGAAAAACAGGGCUGUGGGUUUUAUUUUUAUUUUUUCCAGUUUUCCCUGGGGAUUUGGGGGCCCUUCUCUUCGAAUUUUCGAUUCUGUUUUUUAGAAAUUUUCUUAGUUUCGUUUCUUUUGAUUUUCGAAAAAACCAGAAAACAUAAAAAAAAUAUUUUAAUCUUUUUUUUUCUACUAUUCAUUCCUAGUUUUGAUAUUAAGAUGAAACAUAGUUGAGGUUCAAUUUUGGCUUGUUGUUGCUGCCCGAGGUUUGCCAUUCGAGUGUUUCGAGUUCCCGAUUCCAGUUCUGAAUUAGUCUUGUUGCUGCCUCGUUUGUUUGCUACUGGACGCACAAAAUUCGGCGCCGGAUUUGCUUGUAAUAACUUUUGAACAAGCGUUCGCUCGAUUUCGUCCUUGUACUACUGGAAAUUUCAUCAAUUGAAACUUUGAUUUUCAGUUUGUCAUAGUUACUGAAGUUAUAUUAAUUGGAAAGCAAUUUCAGGUCAAGCUCUUUCCCCUCUUAUUCUUACUUUGGUGUCGAUUUUUAAUAUGAUGUGAGCCUGGGUUCAAAGGGAUUAGGAGUUUUCUAUUUCUGCCUAUAAGAAUGAGGAGUAAGAGUAAAACGCAUCCAAUGUUCAUACCACUUUUAAUUUUGGCGUAUGUAUGUUUGGAGUUUAAUCUUGUCUUGCAACUUGUCAAAUGAAGUACAAGUUACUAUUAUCUCCAUUUAAUUGUCAUGGAGCAUCCUUACUGUCCCAUUUGGAGUUGCACAUAAAAGAUGCUAGACUUAGACUUAAAAAAUCAAUUUGUGGAAUAACUUUAUGUUUGUGACCCAAGGAUGAUGGUUGAAAUGUAGACAAAAUAUUUGAAGCCUUAAUCGUCAUUGUUGCUUAAUAAUUAUUGGACUCCUCGAUUUGAUAUUCAUUUUCAGUGGCCUAAGUCGUGAUCAAUGCAUUUUCGGUUUCUCCAUCAACUUUGUCUUGAGGUGACUGCAUAACUUGUUAAGUUCUAAUUAUUGAGGUUGCCUUCUUUGUAAAAAUGAAAGCUAUUCUAUUUUCUCACGUGAGAUUUGCAUCGCAUACACCAUGAACAAUAUGUGCAUAUAUGGGUCUGUUGAAAUCAGUGAAGUUUGGUGUGAGUUCUCUUACUAAAUUGAUCUUAAUGUAGUAAUGAGAGGUCAUUUUGGAAGGGAUUUGGGGAAUGCAGGCUUUCAUGAUAUUUUAAAUCCACCAUUUUUGUCUUAUCCUGUUAUUAUCACUUCUGCCUUUGUUUGUUAGAUAGUAAUUCUAUAUGCUUUCAUGAAUACCACAUCUUUGUCAUCAUGCCUGACUUGCUCGUGAAUAAACCGAGGUGCGGGAUCGGGGUACGACUAGUCCAUUAGAUAAUUAAUUUAUUUGAAUGUCUUAGGAAUAGGGUUUGAUCAAAUGCAUCAAAUAAAGAGUUAAAAGGAUAUGAGCAUGAAAUCUCUUUAGCAAAAGUACUCCAUAAUCAUGGCCUCUAAAUAAUCUCAAAUUAGAUUAGGAAAGAAAAUGAACAUCGUAGCUUGCUUUAGGCGCGAUUAAUAACAAAUCAUCAUGGUCAUGGGUACAGUUCCCGUGACAUGGUCAUGAUAUGUAAUCCCCAAUUCGGGUGUGCAUUUAAUAUGAUCUGAUCAUAAUAACUUUGAAUAAUAAUAAAAUAAACAUGUCGUAAAUCACGGUGCAUUUCAUGUAGUGUGGUUUGCAAAGUGUUCCCAAACAACAAGUGUAUGACAAUCGUGACUUGUUCCAGAAAUAAUUCUAUAAAUAAAUAAAAGUGGUUAUAAAGUUAAAAAUGCAAAAUAAGUUUAAAACAAGUAAUAAUCAGAUAAUUAGGCCAAUUAUUAACAGUUGAGCGACCGUGCAAAAAUCAUAGAAUCCAGGAAUGCCUAACACCUUCUUUCGGAUUAACAGAAUUCCUUACCCGGUCUUCUGUGUUCGGCGACUGUAAAACAGAGCCAAAUUUCCUCGAUUUGGGAUCUAAAAUAAACCAGUAACUUGAGACACCAUAAAUUAUUCCAAGUGGCGACUCUGAAACUGAAUAAAUAAUUCCAUUUCGAAUUAUGCCACUUUAAUUGGAAAAACUCCCUUAUAUUCCUCUCGGGUGUAAAAAAGGAGGUGUGACAGUAUCCAGUGUUCAUUAGUGCCAAUCUUAUUUGAAUUUCACGGUCGCGUACAUUUUUGUGCGGUUCGCGAUAUGGUAUGCGGCCACAUGCAAAAUUGUGAGGUCUGUGAUACCCUAAUUCUAAGGCAGUGACAUUUGCUAGAUUUUGCGGCCGCGGUCAAUUUUGUGUAGUCCGUGAUUGAUCUUUCGCAGCCGCACUUAAUUUAAUGCGGACCAUGUUCUUGAAAUUCAGAGUUUUAGUCAUUUGUCUUCACAGUUGCGGUCACUUUUAUGCCGUGCACGAUGGUUCUUUCGCGACCGCACUCAUUUUUGUGCUAUCCGCGGUUGACCAUCUUGAGAGAGCUAGUAGUCUGAGCCUGGUCUCUUUGCAACCGCUUUCACUUUUAUGCGGACCACGAUGGGCAGUUCGCGGCCGCACUCACUUUUGUGCGGUCCACGCUGCCCUGUUCUGGGAUGAAUUGUAUGUCAUUUCCUCUGUAAUGUUUUAACUCAUGGUAAGCACCAAGUCUUACUGACUUUCACUACUAGUAUGUUGCAGACAAUUGUACAUUCCCGAGGUAGAGGUGAUACUUCCAAAGGGAGGGCAGAACCCUCCCGAGGCCGGGGUUGGGACAAACCCAACAUACCUCUAUCAGUCCAAAAAUUAAUCCGCAAGAAGCCAACCGCCAAUAGAGCCCCGGACACUUCAAACACUAGUGCGUAUGUCCCAUCCGGGGAGGCUUCUGAAGGAAAUUCCGGGCAAGCACAGCCGGAAGUCUAGUCCUAACAAAUCCAGGGGAGAUUGCAUUUGGUUGAUGAGUCCUCCUCCUUUGAGGGUUCAUCUGAGGGUUCGGAAGAGGGAAGUGAAGAUUCUGAACCCUCCCCUUCACAUUCUGCCUCAUUACCAAUCAAUUUAGAUGAUGAUGACGAAGUCCCGAAUGAUGGAAGAGGGGUUGAUACAGUUGUAGGAGGCUUAGCUAGAUCAAGGAACCCGACGGUAUGGUCGGAUAGGUUUGUGAUUGAGAAAGUGUAUGCCAAAUUUUGGGAAUGGUGGACCCAAAGGUUGCUCACUCUUGAGCGACAAUUCAUAACAAAAAAUACUUGAGCCAACACAAUCCAAAUGUCCUAAAGCAAUUCUCAGAGAGAAAAGGGUGGAAGUAGUUCUCUAGCCGUCUACAUGAUGCCAAUGAAUACCUCGUCAAGGAGUUUUAUGCCAAUGUUGCCCACAUCAAAAAUGGUACAAAAGUGACGAAAGUCUAGAAUUUGAAAAUCUGGUUUGAUGGCCAAGCACAGAACAGAUAUGCAGGGUUUGAGGAGGUUGAGGCAGUGCAAUACCUAGAGAACCUAGCCUUGGGUGAGGUAGUUUGCCCAUUGCUUGCUGGGGUACUUGCUAUUCUGGGGUCGACACCUAUAUGGCUCAUAGCAGGAGUACCAAUCCUCAGAAACACCUUUAGUUUCGAAGCAAAAGGGUGUCAAACAUCUGUGUGCAGCCGUCUUGACCCUUGCCUGCAUGACCAUGUCCUUCCACUUUCCCGAGCAGUGUUGGUAGCUUCUAUCAUGGCAGAAUAUCCUAUCAAUGUAGGAAACUUGAUGUCCUACAACAUAUCCAACGCAGUGUAUAAAGAAGAAAGAUCUUAUCCCUACCCCAACUUCCUGACUGAGUACUUCAAAGACCAAGGGGUUGAGCUGAGACACUUUGAUGUGGAGGUGAAGGCUCAAAAGCCUUUCUCAUGGUAUAACCUCCUGGGACCGCACAACCUUAAAUUCAAGGGUAAAGCCACUACCUCCACUGUCCAGUCUAAAGAGCCAAGGGUAGUGGCCACAAGAUCAGUUGUCGAGCCCUACACAACCACCGGUAUUUCUACCGAAGCAGCAACUAUGUCUCCUCUAUCUUUAGUGUCACUGUCAGUGCCUUCAUUUUCCACCUACCCUCAGACUACACUGAGGGUUUUCCAGACAUUGUCCCAUCUUAACAACUGGAUGCAGGCAUCUACCACAAAGCUAUCUGCCAUAUCCAGUGUAGAGGCAACACAGUCUUCAGUCCUACCAGAGCUUCAGGUAUCUUCAUUAGUGGAGGACUCAUUGAAGAAGAUUCUGGACAACCAGAAGAAGAUUCUAGAUGACCAGAAGAAGAUUAGGGAGACUCUUGAUGCACAUGGGAAGGUGAUCAAGGAUUUGGGAAAGUCGGUGAAGAAGCUGAAGAAGACUCAAAAGGAGUCGUUCGGGAAGUUGGCUAAGGAGGUAGAGAAGACUGCACAUGCGGGAGAUUUUCCUGUGGACCUUCUCAUGGAUAUACAGUGCCAGCAGCACAUGCAGUAGAUCCCGAGGCACCAGGGGUAGCAGCCGGCCAGUCUGAGGAGCCAGUUGCAGCAUCACACACUACUGAGGAGCUGAUUCAGAUGCUCAGUAUCCCCAUGAUCCCCCAGUCCGAGGAUGAGGAGAUACAAUUAGAGGAUGUUGAUGAUACUAUUCAGGUUGAGGACUGGAUGCAGACAGAGACCACAUAUGGAGUUUUCUUUACUCUUUUCCCCCUUUUCCUUGUUCUUAUUUAAUUAUUAGCAUUGAGGACAAUACUGUCCUUCAUUUGGGUGGUGGUCUAUUUUGAUUUAUGACAUUUGGCAUGUAAUAACCAGUACACUAUUUUUCUUUAUUUUCACUUUUGGUAUGUAUAUAUUCGUUAUUUUUACUUUUGGUAUGUAUAUAUUUGUUAUUUUUACAUUUUGUAUGUAUAUAUUUUUAUCAUUUGAUGUAUAUAGUCAUUUCCAUUUAUGUAUAUAUUCGCUUUACUUCAAGUUUGAAUAUAUUCAGUUUAAUUUCCGUAGUUUACUUCAUAACUUCUUUCAUUAUUUUCCCUUAGUAGCAUAACUUAUUUUUAAGUUGCUAGCUUCUUUUUUCGCUUUAUGUGAACAAUAAGCCUUUGGUUUUCUUAAUGCCACGGUUCUUUCCAAAGUUGGAUAUUGUAUGAACCGAGUGGCUCUGCCCAACAAUGGAUGGCGUGACAACCUUCUUAAGGGAUUAAGUCCGUUUUAUUUAUAUUUUGGUGUAAAUAGUAGUAAUGAAUAAAAGUAUCUCAAGCAGGCUUCACUUGGUACUAACACAUUUACCUUUGAUCUUAUGGUUAGAAAUAAGCUGAUUGGCAAAGAAUAGUUCUAACUGUGACCUUUAGACUCUUGUGUUGACUAAAACAAUCAUCGAGUGGUUUCUUUGAGCCAUUUGUAAUGUUCAACCUUAGCUAAGGUUGUUGUGGGACCUCGACUCUAUCUCUUUAAAUUUCUAUCACCUUGAGAGGUGAGGUAUUGAAUUGCAAGUCCAAGUUCUGUGCCAAUAAGUCUAGAACUUGCCUUGAAUAUUUGUCUAGGCAAAAUUCUAAGUGUAGCUCGACUUGAGAAAUGAUUGUAGGCUCUCCUUGAUCCAAUUUGAAACUUAAAAGCUUUUGUAGCCUACCAAUAUGAUAUCCCUAGUCAACCCAUUUGAGCCGAAGCCCUUUUAAUUCAAUAACCAUGUUACAAGCCUUUAUCCGUUCUCUAAUGACUCUCUCUUGGCAUCCGAUCUUUCCUUGGCAUUCUUGAUAAACAAGUGGCAAAAGCAUAAGUUUAGGGAAGAGACGAGGAAUGUGAAAAAGAUAAAAGGUACAAAGAACAAAAAGAAAUGAAGAAAAGGGAAGCAAAAGAAAAGAAAGAAAGGUCAAAAAGAAAUAUGUUAAUAAGAAAGUGAAAAUUGAAGGGAUUCAAACAAAGGAAUGAUGAAAGGUAUGGAAUGAUUAGAAAAGGAGAAAAAUUAUUGUCAUGAGCAAGAAAGAGUGACACUGUAUCUCUCUAGUUCCUCUAAGGAAGAAGAAAAUGGCUCAAAAACUCAAGAAAUUAUGAGCCAAAAUGAUAAAAAGGAGUGCUUAAGGAAAGAUGAAACCUUCAUAUGCCGAUGAAUCCUACCUUGAUCCAAAAGCCUUUAUUACAUUCCCGCAAAAUCCCUAUAUGAUUUCGAGUUGAGUGAGCUUACAUUAGUGGUGAUUUACAUAGGGGCAAACUUAUGGUACUUAGAGCCAGACUUGUGACAUUCCUUUGAGAGAGAUGAGCAUACUUCUUCACAAUCCUUGUAUUGAGUGUUACAAUUCUAAAGUGAGAUUUGCUUAUGGAGAGUAAAGGAGAAGGAGUUUGGGCUCCACAAUGACCUAUGUAAUAGAGCGAGCUUCCUUGGUAAAAUUAAGUCAACUCUUGAUGCUCUAGUGUCGCAAUAGAACUAUGGUACUCAAAAGGUCAAAAUAUUGUGUUGUUGAUAAUUUAGUUGUGUUAAGGGUAAUUGUUUGUCCCAAUUGAUGCAUGAUUGAUUCACCUUAGGGCAGCUGAAAUAUCCUUUUUGUUUUAGUGGAGGUGAAAAUUACCUUAUUUGCUUGAGGACAAGCAAACUUAAGUUUGGGGGAGUUGAUAAGUAGGGAUUUUAAGCUAUUAUUUUCUCUCUUUUACUUGUGUUUUGAGCCAAAAAUGCGUGAAGGUAUUCCCGAAAACUAAUGUAGUAUGCUUGCUUGUAGGAAUUGUUCAAAAUGAGCCAAAGGAGUCAAAACUUGAAUAAAAAACAAGACUGGGCCAAGAGAUCUGAAACGCGGACCACAC
rnacentral:lncRNA from 1 species